rnacentral:misc_RNA from 1 species
AAGUCGUAACAAGGUCUCCGUAGGUGAACCUGCGGAGGGAUCAUUAACACGUGCCAAAACACGUUUUAAACCAAUCAUCUGUGAACACACAAAACACAUCUCAAACGCAAAGUAAAUCAAAGAAUGUAAACAAAAAAUCCUUCGAAGGAAGGUGAAAGUUAAAUACAACUUUCGGCAACGGAUCUCUAGGUUCUC